CACGUAGGGCGCAAGCGUUGUCCGGAAUUAUUGGGCGUAAAGAGCUCGUAGGUGGCCUGUUGCGUCCGCUGUGAAAACUCAGGGCUUAACCCUGAGCCGGCAGUGGAUACGGGCAGGCUAGAGGUAGGUAGGGGAGAAUGGAAUUCCUGGUGUAGCGGUGAAAUGCGCAGAUAUCAGGAGGAACACCGGUGGCGAAGGCGGAUCUCUGGGCCAUUACUGACGCUGAGGAGCGAAAGCGUGGGGAGCGAACAGG
rnacentral:rRNA from 1 species